rnacentral:rRNA from 1 species
CGAAGGUGCAAGCGUUAAUCGGAAUUACUGGGCGUAAAGCGUGCGUAGGCGGUUGGCUAAGUCAGAUGUGAAAGCCCUGGGCUCAACCUGGGAAUGGCAUUUGAAACUGGCGAGCUAGAGUGUGAUAGAGGAUGGCGGAAUUCCCGGUGUAGCGGUGAAAUGCGUAGAGAUCGGGAGGAACAUCCGUGGCGAAGGCGGCCAUCUGGAUCAACACUGACGCUGAGGCACGAAAGCGUGGGAGCAAACAGGAUU